CGAUCCGGGAGUUCAUCAAUUCACCUCUGUUUUUUGGGUAUUUGGGCCUUCGAUUGAGGGGUUUAAAUUUUGUCGGCCUAUUCUUAGCAUUGAUGGCACACACUUAUACGGUAAAUGCAAGGGUGUACUGCUUGUUGCUACAGGAGUUGAUGCAGAUGGUGGCUUAUUUCCUUUGGCCUUUAUCGUUGUGGAGGUCGAGAACAGUGAAAAUUAGGAGUGGUUUUUUUCUUGCAUUCAAUUAUAUAUUUUUAAUGUGUUGUCUCCUAGAAAAAUUACUUUCAUAUCUGAUAGGAUGAAAGGUAUUCCAAAAGCAUUGUGGAGGAGAUUUGGCUCUCAUCACCAUCAUCGUUAUUGCUUACGACACAUUAGAGCUAACUUCAAAAAGAGCUUUAGUCAGAUUCAUUUACAAAACCUUCUGUGGCAAGCGGGUUGUACGCCCGAAACAUGUGUGUAUGAUCGGAAACGAGAUCAAAUCAAGGAAACAUUUCAAGCUGCACAUGAUUGGAUUGAGAGUAGUCUGGGCAGUGAUUACGUCGAUCGGUAGGCACUUAGUAAAGAUGGAGGGAAUCGGUUCUGCAUGAUGACAACCAAUUGUUCUGAAAGCUUCAACAGGGUACUUAAGGGGGCUCGGGCAAUGCCCAUACAGGCGUUGGUUGCGAGGAUAUUUUAUAGGCUUAAUUACUAUUUUGUCAAGCGGUGAGAGGAUGGAGCAAUGUGGGCCUCGUUCUUGACACCAAAAAAUAAGGCGAUUUUAGGAGCUCGAGUUAAGCAGGCGAGGGGUACAAAGAUUGUUAGAUUUGCUGUAGAUGAAUGGGAGGUUACAGACAAACAUGGUCACAAUUACACCGUUAACUUGGGAGGUGCACAUUGCACAUGCACCUAUAACAUACCGGAAUUACAAAAAUUGCCUUGUUCACAUGUUAUAGCGGUUACGUCCAAGCAAUCGGGGGUGCAAAUAUUUCAUAUUACACAUACGCUUCUGAGUGGUAUCAAUCAAACAACUAUAGAGAGGCAUAUAAGUAGUGUUUCCACCCCGUACAUGAUAGUCGUUAUUGGCCACACUAUAACGGGCCGCAUGUGGUGCCUCCAAGCUAUAAGAGACAAGCCGGACACCCGCGAUCAGUACGCUUAAAAGGUACGAUGGAUGAAGGCCAGGAAGGAGCUCCAAAAAAAAUAUAUGUGGAUAUUGCAGACAAGCCGGGCAUAGAAGAUCUCAUUGCCCGACCAAUCCAAAUAGAUAGCAAUUAAUGGGUAUAAUUUUAUACAUUUGUAAUUUUAUACAAUUUUAUACAAUUAAUGGAUCAUCAUUAUAUGUGCAGAUAUUUCAGUUAUGGAGGCGGGUCCAUUGACACAUGAUGUCCUUUAUGACCAAGAGCGCCACCGAUCCGCGAAGAUAGACGCUAGGGAGGCCCCGAGUAUUGCUAUUGUUGAUCAUACUCGUGCACACUCUGGCUGGGAGUUGACGGAUCCAUAGAUACAGUAUUAUGUGCAUCAAGCUGGCUUUUUUAAGUGUUCACAACUUAAAUGGGUAAGACUUGAUUGGGCACUUUUGACGGCAUUGGUUGAACGAUGGAGGUCCGAGACAAAUACUUUCCAUCUGCGUCAAGGAGAGGCGACGAUUACCUUGCAGGAUGUUGGGGUUAUACUUGGCCUCAGAGUAGAUGGUGAUGCAGUGACGGGCACCGAUGACUUCAACUAUGUCAGGGCGUGUGAAGAAUUGUUGGGUCACUGUCCUGCAAUGAAGGGGGGGGGAGAUCAAGCUCAAAUGGUUAAGGAAUAGCUUUAUGAAUGUACCGAUCUAUGCGACUGAUGAGAUCAUUAAGAACUAUGCCCGUGCAUAUAUUUUACAUAUGAUCGGUACUAUUCUGUUUCCGGAUUCCACUAAGGAUUCUGUGCACGUGAGAUGGUUACCGCUUCUUGGGGACCUAUCGGAGUGUGGAGAGUUAUCUUAGGGGAGUGCAGUGUUAGCCUACUUGUAUAGGGAGAUGACGAAAAUAACGCUCGUACAAAACAAAGAAUUGAAGGGCUGCCUCGCUUUGCUACAGAUAUGGUCAUGGGAGCGAUUGCAUUUGGGAACACCUGAUUUGAGGGAGGCCCGUGCUCUCGAUGGCCAUAUUCCGUUAGGCUGCAAGUAUUAUUAAGAUGCAUGUAAUUUUAGUGUUUUAUUUCAAUAUAUACUAACACGUUGUAUAUAAAAUAGAUGGAAUGUGUCCAGAUCUUGGCAAACCUCUCCAAAGGGGCGUGAAAACUUUUACAGAAAAGAUGGAGGAUGAACAGGUCAAAUGGAUGCCCUACGAGCUAGUGUUGGAGUCACUACUGGAUAUUUGCCGGGAAGGUGAUGAUGUAUGGCGUGCUCGCAUCCCACUUAUAUGCUUUGAGAUUGUCGAAAUGCACGUGCCUGACCGUGUGCUUCGACAAUUUGGACUACGGCAACAUAUUCCAAGGCCUGUGGAGAGAAUAGAGAAAAAUCCAAGAAAAUGUGCACAUCAUGCUAAUUGGGAAGUAAUUCGCCAAGAUUACAUCCAGAGGUGGGAUUUAAGGGAGGAACAGGUAGUGAUGGAGAGGGCUGAUGCACCUGACCAAGGUGUGUACCUGCGGUGGUAUUAGGGGAUUACUCGCCGGUGGAUAUUUCAGGAAAACAAAGCGCCGAAUGAGUACAUACCAAGAGCCCAAUCGAGAGAGAGUUGGUACAAGAGCUCGAAGAGCUUUCUACUAUGGCACAUGACGCAUUGCGCACGACUACCGAGCAGGAGCCGAGGAACACGUUCCUUCGAAUGAUAAAAAAGAUGUGGUCGGCUCUUCAGAGGACGCGUAAUGCAAGUCGUGAUGGACGGGAGGAGCGACCAAUUGAGUACGGGCAGCGACGUCGACGAGGACACACGGGGGCGGGAUCAAGCCGUGCACAUGAUGAAGCUGGCGGCUCACAGCAGGCUCAGGCCGGAUGUUCACAGGCGGUUCGAGUCGACGCAGAUGUCAUGCGCUCCUAACUUCACACACAACCGGACGAGGAACUUAUCCGAGCUCAUGUCGAAGGUGAACGGGGAAGGGGGAGAGGGAGAGGGAGAGGGAGGGAAAGGGCGUUGUUGAUAUUUGUUAAGUUUCGAUGGACUUGAUAGGAUGUUUGCGUUUGAGUUGCAAUUUGGACUUGAUAUGUUGUUUGUGUUGCGAUGGAUUUGAUAUAAUGUUAAGUUUGCGAAUAUGAAUUGUACGUAUGAUAUUUGUGUUUGUGAUUGCAUUGUGGAUUGAUAACA